rnacentral:miRNA from 1 species
UCUCCCAACCCUUGUACCAGAUU